CUACGGGGUGCAGCAGUGGGGAAUAUUGGACAAUGGGGGAAACCCUGAUCCAGCAAUGCCGCGUGUGUGAAGAAGGCCUGCGGGUUGUAAAGCACUUUCGGUUGGGAGGACUGCUUCUAGCACUAAUAUUGUUGGAAGUUGACGUUACCUUCAGAAGAAGCACCGGCUAACUCCGUGCCAGCAGCCGCGGUAAUACGGAGGGUGCAAGCGUUAAUCGGAAGUACGGGGCGUAAAGCGCGCGUAGGCGGCUAGAUCAGUCGGGUGUGAAAGCCCCGGGCUUAACCUGGGAACUGCAUCCGAUACUGUCUAGCUUGAGUACAGGAGAGGAGAGUGGAAUUCCACAUGUAGCGGUGAAAUGCGUAGAUAUGUGGAGGAACACCAAUGGCGAAGGCAGCGCUCUGGCCUGAUACUGACGCUGAGGUGCGAAAGCGGGGGGAGCAAACAGGAUUAGAUACCCCCGUAGUC
rnacentral:rRNA from 1 species